rnacentral:rRNA from 1 species
GCAGUCGACGAUGAACCACUUCGGUGGGGAUUAGUGGCGAACGGGUGAGUAACACGUGGGCAAUCUGCCCUGCACUCUGGGACAAGCCCUGGAAACGGGGUCUAAUACCGGAUACUGAUCCUCGCAGGCAUCUGCGAGGUUCGAAAGCUCCGGCGGUGCAGGAUGAGCCCGCGGCCUAUCAGCUAGUUGGUGAGGUAACGGCUCACCAAGGCGACGACGGGUAGCCGGCCUGAGAGGGCGACCGGCCACACUGGGACUGAGACACGGCCCAGACUCCUACGGGAGGCAGCAGUGGGGAAUAUUGCACAAUGGGCGAAAGCCUGAUGCAGCGACGCCGCGUGAGGGAUGACGGCCUUCGGGUUGUAAACCUCUUUCAGCAGGGAAGAAGCGAAAGUGACGGUACCUGCAGAAGAAGCGCCGGCUAACUACGUGCCAGCAGCCGCGGUAAUACGUAGGGCGCAAGCGUUGUCCGGAAUUAUUGGGCGUAAAGAGCUCGUAGGCGGCUUGUCACGUCGGUUGUGAAAGCCCGGGGCUUAACCCCGGGUCUGCAGUCGAUACGGGCAGGCUAGAGUUCGGUAGGGGAGAUCGGAAUUCCUGGUGUAGCGGUGAAAUGCGCAGAUAUCAGGAGGAACACCGGUGGCGAAGGCGGAUCUCUGGGCCGAUACUGACGCUGAGGAGCGAAAGCGUGGGGAGCGAACAGGAUUAGAUACCCUGGUAGUCCACGCCGUAAACGGUGGGCACUAGGUGUGGGCAACAUUCCACGUUGU